rnacentral:lncRNA from 1 species
AAAUUUUCCUUUAGACAACCAGUUCUAGGUAAGCCUAUUUGGUCAUUGGAAUUUUGCUGAUAAUAGAAAAACAUAACACAAAAAGAGCACAUUGGUUGUUGGUUUAUAGAUUUCCUUAAAUUUAUUAAUUUGUUCAUUCAUUAAUUGUCUGUAAUUGCUUAUCUAAUUUAGAGUUAUGGUGUGCUUGGGGCCAACUCCGAAUCACAGGUUGCAAGUGGAAAACUUAAUUUUACUACUAAUUAGUACUUUUUUUAUUUCCUAGAUCUGGAAGUCCAAAUUGUUAGUCAGGAAUCAUCUUCUUCUGUAGUGUCAGACACUCCAUUAUCCCCAUUGUCAUCCAGUUCAUCCGACUCCACAGUCAUCCUUGAAUCAACAAAGAGAAGGAGGGUAGCAGAAUUGAUGGAUCGGGAUCAAGCAAAACAUAUGGUUGAAGAUGUCCUCAAGGCCAAUCCAAAGGGUGAAGAAAUCUUCAUGGAGUAUAACAAGACCAAAACUCUUACAGAUGGAAAACGGAAACAAAUGGUGAACAUCCUGGUGGCUGAUAUGAUCGAGACACAUGGGAGGAUUCCACCAUCAAGUGCACGAACUAAUUAUGCGCUGGGAAUUGUGACUCUGUUUCCAUACCUCCAAGAUCCAUACUCUGAAAAUGGAUAUGAACACUACUACGAUCCUGUGGGUAACACUGGCUACCUAGCAUGGAGGAUUAAGACUGUUCAGCGGAACUCCUCUGUUGGCUCCCAGAGUUAUUCAAGGCCAUCUUAUCAAGAUAGUCCAAGAAGCAGACGAGAAGCUCUACCAGAUGUUGAACAGCUGUUUGGUGAUGAGUGCAGGGAGGCUUUAUCUACAAUGAGGCACUCAACAGAUGAAUCUGUGGUCAAAGAGAGAAUGAGGGCAACUUUCCAGUAUAGACAAAAGCUGGUUCGUGAUAAAGAUGCGUCAAUGUCUGUUCUGGACAACUUUCCUCGUUUCCUUGACAUUCCUGGAUUGAUUGACCAGGACUUUGCCAUGAUGUUUGGAGAUGAGGUGUCCAGUAGGUUUCUAGCGAAGUGGCCUACUUUUUUCAAGCCCAGAGUCAUAAGCGACUGCAGGACACUCGCCCCAAAUCAGUAUGCUGAGGAACUGCUGUCAGCAAUUGAACCCCAACCUGAGGAUAUCUAUGGUAAAUGGAAUUUUUUAAUCCCCA